CAAAAUCCUCUGAAGUACUUGGUGUGUGCCAUGGGUUGGGUUACUGUCCAAAUGAAAUUCUGGCUGGUUGAUGCAAAAUUAUUGCUGUCGAAGGCAUCGUCGGAGAAGCGGCUGUACACGUUUAUUAGCGUCGGAAGUCAGAGGAGCGGUUGUCGUCGUGGUUUUCUUUAGUCGGAGGAGCGGCUUGCGGGCCGUGCAGGUGUGGGAUCGGAGGGGCGACUGUCAUUUUGGUCUUCUACGGUCGUGGCUGUCGUUGGAGGAGCGGUAGUCCCAGCGAUUCAUGGCGCCAGAAGUUGCGGCUCUUUGUCUUUUGGAAUGUUGCUCGCGACUCUUGUCUUCCCCACCUCGGCACGAUGCAAGAAGUCGCAACUCUUCGUCUUCCAAAAGUUGCAACUCUUCGCCUUCCAAAAGUUGCGACUUUGUUGGGAGGCAACAGCGACGACAUCAAGACGGCGGUUUUGGAAGUCGUGACUCUCUCUACACCUAAAAAAAAGUUUUCUGUCCCUAUGGCAUUGUUAAACAAAGCAGACUCAUUGACUUGGCUCCCUAGUGCUAACGGGGUCUUUUCUACAAAAUCCUUGAUGAUGGACAUGGGAAAAAAGUAGAAGCAAUAAAUCCCACCCUAGCAAAGACGGAAUGGAAAGGAUGUCAACCUAAAAAGGUGAAGUUCUUCCUCUGGGAAAUAGACCUAAAGCCGUUAGCACAAGUGAAAAUCUUAAAAAAAAAAAAAAAAAGAAUGUCUUACAUCACUCUUUCUCCAAAUUGGUGUCCAUUAUACAAGAAAGAAAACGAAUCACAAAACCACUUGUUUAUGCAAUGCACAUACACUCAGAAUUUCUGGAUAAAGAUUCUCAAUAUAUUCGGAUGACAUCUCAUAUUUCUUAGGGAGAUAAUGAUUUUUUGGAUAUAGCCUUAACGUAUCGCCCUUUCAAGAAUGCAAAAGAUACCCUUUCAAGAAUGCAAAAGACCUAUUAUUGGAAAAACCUCAUCAUGGCUUUCUUUUGGAAUAGGUGGAAAGAAAGAAAUUAGAGAAUAUUUGU